UACAGAAAAUACAAGCGUUAAUCGGAAUUACUAAACAUAAAGCGCGCGUAGGCAAUUUGAUAAGCUGGAUGUGAAAGCCCCAAACUCAACCUGGGAACUGCAUCCAGAACUGUCUGACUAGAGUACAGUAGAAAUGAGUGGAAUUUCCUGUGUAGCGAUGAAAUGCGUAGAUAUAGGAAGGAACAUCAAUAGCGAAGGCGGCUCACUGGACUGAUACUGACGCUGAGGUGCGAAAGCAUGGGGAGCAAACAGG
rnacentral:rRNA from 1 species